ACUCUGCUUGUCCUCAACGCAACCCUAUUUUAUACUUUCUUAUUUUGAUUAUAAAUAACGGUAAGUUAGGAGCACAGAACACAUCAAACAGAGUCAUUGUACCUCUCCACCUUUACCUCUAUAGCUAUAGUCAUAGAGGACGCUGUAUCCUGAGAUGAGGAUAAUAUUAUUACUAACACUUCUCUUGUCUGUUUUAUGUGCUGAGGCAAGAUCAAGUUCAGAUUUGCCUCUACGAUUCACUUCAGAACAGAGAGCUCUAAACCCCUCAAGUAGCAGCAUCCAAAAACAGAGUGUCCAUGGGAGACCAGAGAUAAGUGGAAGCCUAUUAAAGGACAGCAAAGUUGAAGAAAAGCAUCAAGGAUCUUAUGAAACAAGUAAAGCUCAGAGAGGAAAAGGAGCCAGUGGGGGUUCCGACGUCAAUCAUAGAGAUCCUCGCUCUCAAAGUUCUCCUCCAUUAAUGUCAUCUUGGACUUCAAUAUUGGCUCUUCAUGGAAGCCUUGGUUUAGCCUUUCUCUUUUCUUUUUACUUCUUUUAAGGUGUUCUAGACAAGUUACAUUUUAAAAUCUAUGUCUUCGUAGAGCUUUAUUUUCUCAUAAGUUUUUCUUUACAGUUGUGCCCACUAGAAAUUAAGAAUAGCUUAUCUCAAUUGAUGCAUGCUUUUUUUCAGACCACUGUACCUAACAUCUCAAGUAUAUCGAAUAAAAGAUGUCUAUGUUUAUA